UACGAAGGGGGGCUAGCGUUGCUCGGAAUUACUGGGCGUAAAGGGCGCGUAGGCGGAUGUUUAAGUCGGGGGUGAAAGCCCGGGGCUCAACCUCGAAUGCCUUCGAUACUGGACAUCUUGAGUACGGGAGAGGUGAGUGGAACUCCGAGUGUAGAGGUGAAAUUCGUAGAUAUUCGGAAGAACACCAGUGGCGAAGGCGACUCACUGGCCCGUUACUGACGCUGAGGCGCGAAAGCGUGGGGAGCAAACAGG
rnacentral:rRNA from 1 species